UACGAAGGGGGCUAGCGUUGUUCGGAAUUACUGGGCGUAAAGCGUGCGCAGGCGGCUUCUCAAGUCAGGGGUGAAAGCCCAGAGCUCAACUCUGGAAUUGCCUUUGAUACUGAAGAUCUUGAGUUCGGGAGAGGUGAGUGGAACUGCGAGUGUAGAGGUGAAAUUCGUAGAUAUUCGCAAGAACACCAGUGGCGAAGGCGCUCACUGGCCCGAUACUGACGCUGAGGCACGAAAGCCAGGGGAGCGAACGGG
rnacentral:rRNA from 1 species